rnacentral:rRNA from 1 species
UACGGAGGAUGCGAGCGUUAUCCGGAUUUAUUGGGUUUAAAGGGUGCGUAGGCGGGAUGCCAAGUCAGCGGUAAAAAUGCGGUGCUCAACGCCGUCGAGCCGUUGAAACUGGCGUUCUUGAGUGGGCGAGAAGUAUGCGGAAUGCGUGGUGUAGCGGUGAAAUGCAUAGAUAUCACGCAGAACUCCGAUUGCGAAGGCAGCAUACCGGCGCCCUACUGACGCUGAGGCACGAAAGCGUGAGUAUCGAACAGG